CUCGGCCUCUCGGGGAGCGACGUGCCGGGAAAGUUUUGCCUGCACUCUCCCUGGAUGCUGGAGGCUGGAGGCAGUGACGCAGCAACAGCGCGAGGCGACUUUGGAGCGGCCUCAUAUAGCGACCUCGCCUUCCGCUGCGCGUCCUCCCAGAGCCCAAGAAGCCCGGAACCUGUGGCAUCCAUCUCUGAAAGGAGAAGACGGCAACCCAGCCGAGGCACUACUGGGUUGGGGUCUCCACGACCGAGCUGGUCUCAUCAAGUGGCGUCCAACAAGGGGCUCAAACCCGGGUUGAGGGGUUGCUGGAGCGACGGAGAACGUGGAACUACACUGGAGGACACCAGAGUACUCUUAAGCAAUCCCUUGGCCAAAACCAGCAACUGAUUUGGAUACCAUCAAGACACCUGAAAUCUUGUCAUGAGCCAGAUACUGAGGAAGAGAUUUUGGGAAGAACCCAAGGACCCCCCAGUUGCAGCCAUGUCAAGACUGACAAUAAGGAAGACAUCAGUCCCAGCAAGCAACAUUCAUCGGGCACAGCCACCCAUGUGGGGCCAGAUCAAGAAGUUGACACAGAUGGCGGAAGAAAAUCUGAAGAAAGCGGAUGACCAGCUACAAUGAUCUGCAGAUGUGGAUCCCGAAUCCUGCGAGAAGUAGCCCACCAUGACGAAGCUGCCUUUGCUUUUAUCGCUUUGCAAAAACAGAAAAGGGGACAUGCUGGGAACAGGCCCUAAGCCUGUCAUAAACAGGCCUUAAACUGACCAUGAACAGGAUUUCUGCACGAAUGUGACGUGCUCCUGAUGGCUAUGACGCCCACUGCUAGAAGUUGUUAGUUUACUGGAGCAGGGUAGGGAACACCUGGCCCACCCGGAGCGGAAAACUGCUCAAACCACAAACAACAGCAUGAGUGGCCUGAGCCUUAACAACAUGUUUUUGCUGCAGAUAAUCGGCCAGAGACUGUUUCUCUACUCCUCUCUAAGUAUGC
rnacentral:lncRNA from 10 species